AAGGAAAAUUGGUGGAUUUCAAGGAAUCAUGCAAUCAAAGGUGGCGAAUCCUCUGGCAAGGGCAAUGAAAUCGCACCCGAGGAGUAAUAGUUGAAGUACCCGAAUUUAGUUUUCGAAAACUGUUCGGGAUAGCUAGUAGAUAGCCGAUUGCAUCAAGG
rnacentral:sRNA from 1 species